UUUCUACUCCCUCCGUCCGAAAAUACUUGUCAUCAAAAUGGAUAAAAAGAGAUGUAUCUAAAACUAAAAUAUGUCUAGAUACAUUUCCUUUUAUCCAUUUUGAUGACAAGUAUUUCCGGACGAAGGGAGUAUUUG
rnacentral:pre_miRNA from 1 species